UUAAAUACAAAUAUAAGUUAGUAACAACAAUCUAACAAAUAGUUGAAAAACCAUCAAUCUUAACCGACUUAUUUCCUCGCCAGAUUGAUGUGUCUUUCAACAUCAUUGGAAAUUUGUCAGUUUAGAUCAAAUUUAUUAUUCUUUAUUUGCCUUUAUCCUUUGAGGUAUUUACAUAAUGAACACUAUUUUAUUUUCUCUUGCUUCAACUGUUUCUUUAUUGCACAGUUUAUGAAAUGAUUCUAUUAAAGAAUCAUUUCUAACUUUAAUAGUUAUAAGACUAAUUGUGCAAAUAGAACACUAUAUGCUAAAUUUUCGACAAGAUAACUUGAUUGUCAAAAUUAUAUCGCUUUAUCAAGAUUAAAUAGUUACCUAAUGUGCUCUUAAGAUUUUCUUUGCUUAAUAAUCCGAAUGAAAUAUUAUCUCUCCGACGAGAGCUUAUUUUUCGCUUUAUUGCUUUAGAAGCACUUUAAUUUAAGCAAAGAAAACAUGACAAAAAUUAUGUCAUCUUAAAUAAUACCUCAAAUGUCUCUGGAAUUCAAAACUUUAUGAUCAUGACCUAUGUCAUUCGGAGUAUACUCACAUUUUAUACUUGAGUCUCACUUUAAAGUUACCGAAUAGUGAGAGAAUUUGAGUUUUUCCAUCUUGACAUAAGUUUAGAUCCAAGAACACGAUGCUCUUCCUUUAUUUCUAAGCGCUAGAAUUUUAAGAAUUACAAUUCUAACAUGAUUUUGCAGAUACAU
rnacentral:lncRNA from 1 species